GAGUUUGAUCCUGGCUCAGAUUGAACGCUGGCGGAAUGCUUUACACAUGCAAGUCGAGCGGCAGCGCGGCCUUCGGGCUGGCGGCGAGCGGCGAACGGGUGAGUAAUGCAUCGGAACAUGCCCAGUCGUGGGGGAUAACACUUCGAAAGAAGUGCUAAUACCGCAUACGUCCUGAGGGGGAAAGCGGGGGAUCGCAAGACCUCGCGCGAUUGGAGUGGCCGAUGUCAGAUUAGCUAGUUGGUGGGGUAAAGGCCUACCAAGGCGACGAUCUGUAGCUGGUCUGAGAGGAUGAUCAGCCACACUGGGACUGAGACACGGCCCAGACUCCUACGGGAGGCAGCAGUGGGGAAUUUUGGACAAUGGGGGCAACCCUGAUCCAGCCAUUCCGCGUGAGUGAAGAAGGCCUUCGGGUUGUAAAGCUCUUUCGGCAGGAACGAAACGGUGGGCUCUAACAUAGUCCGCUAAUGACGGUACCUGAAGAAGAAGCACCGGCUAACUACGUGCCAGCAGCCGCGGUAAUACGUAGGGUGCGAGCGUUAAUCGGAAUUACUGGGCGUAAAGCGUGCGCAGGCGGUUGUGUAAGACAGGUGUGAAAUCCCCGGGCUUAACCUGGGAACUGCGCUUGUGACU
rnacentral:rRNA from 1 species